AUGGGACGGAAAGCGAGCCGCCUGCGGCGACGCCGCCAGCCGCCAGCCGGCAUCAGCCCCACCACGUCGCCGUCGCCUUCGCUUGCAUCCUCCUCAAGAGAGUUUGCCAUCAUGCAAAGCCCGAGCAAAUUGCCUGAUCCAUCUGUCUCUACUCCCCCAGGAGUGUUGGGGCACCAAGGUUGGGCUGACCUCCCAGAUAAACUGCUUCACUCCAUUGUUCCUCUGUUGGGAUCUUUCCUCGACCUUAUCGCGUUUGCUAGCACCUGUGGUUCUUGGCGUGCUGCCUUCUCUUCGUACCCAUCCAAACCUACCAUCUGCACCAAACUCCCGCCUCUCCUCGUCCGACCCAAUGUCUGUGUCGAUGCCCCUCAUCUCCCUUCCAGCAAUGGUUGUCACAAGCUACGCACAUGUAAGGUCAUUGAUCUGGCCAACCAGAACAGAGCCCUCCGCUGCCAGAUUCCUCAAGAAACUUUUCAGAGGAUGCGUUUUGCUGGCUCUUCCUAUGGGCAUCUCAUCUGCUGCCGCCGAGGAAAUUGCCUUGUUGUUGAUGUGUUCACUGGUGCCGAGGUUUCACCUCCAUCUCUCCCAUUCAGUGGUGACUGUGAGCAGGAGUUCUACUUUGGCGGCACCCUGACAGCUCCCCUUGCAUCACCCAACUGCCAUCUCCUUGUCAGCACACGAUCCUCCCUGUUUGAUUGGCCAGUUGGAAGUGACUCUUGGUCUGAACUCAAGCUUUCUGAUGCACGGAUAGAUCAGAUUGUGGAAUCCAAUGGUCAGUUCAUCGCCAUGGAUUAUUCCCAGAGGAUCUACAUUCUGAAACCUGCAAAAUGGGUGGAGGUGAAGAAGCUGGACAAUUGGGCACUCUUUGUAGGGGGUGAUGUGAGGAGCCCGCCGUUUUCUUGCUUGACCCCAGAGAAGUGGGGAGGGAGGAGCAACUGCCUGUACUACGCCCAUUACUCUCAGCCUUGGAGCGUACAUGGAUUAGGUGACGCGGCAAAUGCUGUGUGGGAUCCUUCCACCGACCCUGAUCUUGUGUACAAGAGAAACUGGUACGGCCAGCUGCAGGCCUUCUGGGUGUAUCCAAGCAUGUUCUAUUCUGAUGCUCCAGUAGUGACGGGGCACCAAGACUGGGCUGACCUCCCAGAUAACCUGCUUCACUCCAUUGUUCCUCUGUUGGGUUCCUUUCUCGACCUUAUUGCGUUUGCUAGCACCUGUCGUUCUUGGCGUGCCGCCUUCUCUUCAUACCCAUCCAAAUCGACCUUCUGCACCAAAUUCCCGCCUCUCCUUGUCCGGCCCAAUGUCCGUGUCCAAGCCCCUCAUCUACCUUCUAGCAAUGGUCGUCACAAGCUACGCACAUGUAAGGUCAUUGAUCUAGCCAACCAGAACAUAGCCCUUCGCUGCCAGAUUCCUCAAGAAACUUUUCAGAGGAUGCGUUUUGCUGGUUCUUCAUAUGGGCAACUCAUCUGCUGCCGCCGAGGAAAUUGUCUUAUUGUUGAUGUGUUCACUGGUGCUGAGGUUUCACCUCCAUGUCUCCCAUUCAGUGGUGACUGUGAAGAGGAGUUCUACUUUGGUGGCACCCUGACAGCUCCCCUUGCAUCACCCAACUGCCAUCUCCUUGUCAGCACUCGAUCCUCCCUGUUUGAUUGGCCGGUUGGAAGCGACUCUUGGUCUGAAAUCAAGCUUUCUGAUGCACGGAUAGAUCAGAUUGUGGAAUUCAAUGGCCAGUUCAUUGCCAUGGAUUAUUCUCAGAGGAUCUACUUUCUGAAGUUAGCCCCCCAGCUUGGCCUGCAGGAGAUAACUACCAAGUGGUGGGACGGCAUGACUGAGUGCCCAUAUCUAAGACCAUGGCUGGUGGUCUGCGGCGAUAUGCUUCUCAUGGUUGACCAUUACAAGCUGGACAACUGGGCACUCUUUGUAGGGGGUGAUGUGAGGAGCCCGCCGUUUUCUUGCUUGAGCCCAGAGAAGUGGGGAGGGACGAGCAACCGCCUGUACUACGCCCAUUACUCCCAGCCUUGGAGCGUACAUGGCUUUGGUGAUGCGGCAGAUGCUGUGUGGGAUCCUUCCACUGACCCUGAUCUUGUGUACAAGAGAAACUGGUACGGUCAGCUGCAGGCCUUCUGGGUGUACCCAAGCAUGUUCUAUUCCGAUGGCCAGUGA
rnacentral:rRNA from 1 species